CAUGCAGUCGAGCGGAUGACGGGAGCUUGCUCCUUGAUUCAGCGGCGGACGGGUGAGUAAUGCCUAGGAAUCUGCCUGGUAGUGGGGGACAACGUUUCGAAAGGAACGCUAAUACCGCAUACGUCCUACGGGAGAAAGCAGGGGACCUUCGGGCCUUGCGCUAUCAGAUGAGCCUAGGUCGGAUUAGCUAGUUGGUGGGGUAAUGGCUCACCAAGGCGACGAUCCGUAACUGGUCUGAGAGGAUGAUCAGUCACACUGGAACUGAGACACGGUCCAGACUCCUACGGGAGGCAGCAGUGGGGAAUAUUGGACAAUGGGCGAAAGCCUGAUCCAGCCAUGCCGCGUGUGUGAAGAAGGUCUUCGGAUUGUAAAGCACUUUAAGUUGGGAGGAAGGGCAGUAAGUUAAUACCUUGCUGUUUUGACGUUACCGACAGAAUAAGCACCGGCUAACUCUGUGCCAGCAGCCGCGGUAAUACAGAGGGUGCAAGCGUUAAUCGGAAUUACUGGGCGUAAAGCGCGCGUAGGUGGUUUGUUAAGUUGGAUGUGAAAGCCCCGGGCUCAACCUGGGAACUGCAUCCAAAACUGGCAAGCUAGAGUACGGUAGAGGGUGGUGGAAUUUCCUGUGUAGCGGUGAAAUGCGUAAUAUAGGAAGGAACACCA
rnacentral:rRNA from 1 species